rnacentral:lncRNA from 1 species
CCGAGGGCCUCAUCUCGCAUCUCUGCGUUCUCUGACUGGAGAAGGAUGCUUCCCUUUGCUUCCCAGCGGAUCUCUGGGGCCUUCUUCGGGCUCCAAGCACUCUGGGCAGGAGGACCGUUGUCCGGCCGACGUGGAAAGCUAGGGGACAAAUCUCAAGCACCCAGAAGGCUACAAAACUCAGCGCUCUCCUUGCCCUGGGCCUGGCUCAGUCUUCUGGAUUUGGUUUCAGACUUGGCCAACAUCCCUCUACUAUCUUCCCAGCUGGUGUUCAAGAAUAGCCCCCCUCCACUGGAUUCAGGAUCCCACACUAAACCACAGCUUCCCAUCUGGGGACUUCCCUGUUCAGCUUCCUCAGACCGUCCUCUCCCCGGUUCCUGAUGAAGGCCGUCUGCGUAGAACCUGCCUCUGGACUCAGGAAGCGCAAGCCUUUCCUUCCUUCUCGAAUCGUAAGUGACCACAACGUCCUGUUUGCUUUGCAGCACCUAAUACGUAAACUUUUAUUAUGGGAGUGUGUGAUCGCAGGUUGUAUUUUUAGUAGAUUUAUUGAAUUGGUAAAUAUGUAUUUAAUGUCAACUAUGUUUCAAGAAGACUCAUCGCUGCCAAAUGCACAGAAGUGAGAGAAAUCAGAUCACUUCCUGUACAGAGUUCGCAUUCCAAGGGGGCUGGGAGACAACACAGAAGAAAGUGAAGAAAAACUCGAGAUUAUGUGAGCUAAUGAGCUAAGAAGACGAUAAUUCAAGGGGUUUGAAGACUUGGAGGUGGCGGGGCAUGCAUGGGGCUUGCUGAUUUAAUAAGGUAGUGAGGAAAAGGGCAUCUGAGGGGAAAAUGUUGGAGAUCCUCAAAACCUAGAGUUCAAAGACUCGCCCCCCCCCUUUUUUUUUUGCUUUUUUAGGGUCGCACCCAUGGCCUAUGAACGUUCCCAGGCUAGGGCUUGAAUCAGAGCUACAGCUGCUGGCCUCCACCGCAGCUACAGCAAUGCAGGAUCUGAGCCGUGUCUGCAACCUACACCACAGCUCACGGCAACACCGGAUCCUCAGCCCACUGAGCAAGGCCAGGGAUCCUAGUUGAAUUCGGACUCCUUUCCAUGGAGCCACGACGGGAACGCCCUCUGGCGCUUUUUUCUUAGUUUUAUCCACAGCAUUUUAGCAGAGUGCUGUGUCCUGUGACAAUGUUCUGGACUGAUUUGGAGGAGAGACCUGGAAUCAUGAAGGGAUAUUUGAGGCAAGUGGAAGUGGUUAGAUGCAUAUAGAGAAUGAAUGGGGAGGAAAAGAGAAAGUUUAAAAAAUCCAAAGUGUCAUUUUAGGGAUUGCUGCAUUUCCUUAAUAUGUAAAUCAGUAGACAAAGGGUAGACAUUAUAGAGAAACAAGUUCCGUUCAGUGUAAGUCAAUAUUACGUGUCUGGUGAUGGAGCCGCUGCGCCGUGUUCAAGCAGACAUUGCUCCUGCCUGAGAGAAGCGCUGUCGGAGGGCCCUCCGCUCUGACCAGUGCUGGGUGGGGUCUAUGGUUCUUUGCAGAGCAACUACUAAACACACAUAUUAUGCUGUCAGUGAAUGAAUGAAUGAACUUGUAAACACGGUGGUGUGAUAUAGUCGAAAGCUAAAAGUAAUGCAAAAAGGAAUUUUAGACACAAAAUUCUAGACAACUCUGAAGGCAAACUUUGUUAUUGUUUGCACAGUAGUGAAUUUUUCCAUUUGAUAGACAACUACUCAGGAGAACUUUUUUAAAAAAAAUGUAUCUUCUGUUUUACAUAGUUCUUUGCAUAUUGGCUAACAAGCUAAUUUACACAUUUAAAUAGUAUCUCGCUAUUUAUUUUCCUUAAUUUUAGUCCUAAUAAGUUCCAUUGGCAACAUAUUUUGUGAUGUAUAUUAAACUCAGAAUAGAAGACCCAGUGUAAUCUAGCCAUUUAUCAACUCACUUGUUCUAAGUUAAAUUGAACUUUGACCUGCUAUAUCCUAAUAGCAAGAUAGGAUAUAGGUUUUUCAUUCAUACCACAGGAAUUCCUUCAACUUGUGCGACCUGCUCAUGUGUGACAUCCGUCUUAUAGAAGUGGAAAGAAUAUGGGCUCUUUCUUUCUUUCUGGGAUGGACGCACCUGCGGCAUAUGGAAGUUCUCAGGCUAGGGGUUUGAAUCAGAGCUGCAGCUGCCGCCUAUGCCACGGCUCAUGGCAGCACCAGAUAUGUAGCCUACUGAACGAGGCCAGGGAUCGAACCUGCCUCCGCACGGAUACUAGUCUGGAUCAUUACCAGGGAAGUCCCUGAGCUUUUCCUUUAAGAGUAUAUUGUUCAUUUUAAUUAGUGGGAGACACUCAUAGCUCAGUUAUCACAAUUCAGUGACACGGGGACAUUCCCCUAACGUGUAAGGCCCAUAAAAUGAGAAAGUGAAGGCAAUGAUUCCUAUUUCAGACUCUCACAAGUUUUGCAUUAAAGGGGACAUCGAAGGCAGCUGACACAUUGGUACAUAGUAAUUAUUCCAUAAAUAGUUCAUUUCUUUUAUCUGGAUACAAACAAAGAAGAAACGUAUUUUUCUUACAUAUUUAAUAUUUUGGGGGGGCGGAGGUUAUUUUACUUUUCAAAUGAUCAACUGCAUAUAUGUAUAAUAUAUGAUAAAAGUUCAUCUGAUUUGCAGUAUUUGAUAAGUUAAUCAGUGUGAAAGUAUUUAUAAUCUAUAAAAUGUCCUUUCCAAAAAAGGAAAAAUACAUAAAAGGAUAGAUUGCCUUCAUGAAAAUAAGAUAACUUGGAGUUCCCGUUGUGGCUCAGUGGUUAACAAAUCCGACUAGGAACCAUGAAGUUGCGGGUUCGAUCCCUGGCCUCGUUCAGUGGGUUAAGGAUCUGGUGUUGCUGUGAGCUGUGGUGAAGGUCGCAGACGUGGGUUGGAUCCCGCGUUGCUGUGACCCUGGCGAAGGCCGGUGGGGAUAGGUCCGAUUAGCUCCUAGUCUGGGAACCGGGUGCGGCCCUGGAAAAUACAAAAAAUAAAAAAUGAAAAUAAGAUAACUUGAUGAAGAUUAUAAUCUGUGGUUUCCUUUAUCAUUUGUGCAUUCAUUUUUCAUUUAUUGAUUAAUUCUUUCAGAAGCAUUUGUUGAAAUUUACUGUGGGUCAGGGUUUACACAUACACUCUAUUUGUAGUUAAAUCUUUUGAUAUUAUUCUACCAGUAUACAGUGUGCUUUCCUGAUGGACCGGCAUUUAAAUUGACUGUUAUUUCUAACUGUCAAUUUUUUAAGGCACGUUUUUGGAAGAACACCAACAAUGCAAUAUAAGUAGGCUAUCAUAACUUCUUAUAUUAUUAUGAAAAUAUUUCUUAUUUUAUUAUGAAAAUAUUUCUUAUAUUAUUAAAAUGACUCGAUUUAAUGUAUAUUCUCAGAGUGUUCUCUUUGAACAAAAUUCUGAAUGAGACAUGGUUGAAAGAAGGCUUUAAAAGUCAUGUAUGAAAGAUGUGAAAAAACCAAAUAACUUUCUAAUGUCACUUCCUAAAACUAAAUACUGUUUUACAUACGUGUAGCAGAGAUGAAACAGUAAAUAUUUAAAAUGACAAGAUGGAUAAAUAAGACACUGUGAUGACUCAUAUGGAAAAUGGCUUUUGAGCUUAUUUUAAAACGUUUUAUAUACACUAGAUCUUUAUUUAAAGUUUACUUAGGGUGUAAAUGAGUUGCAUAGGGUUUUUUCCACCACUCUUUACAAGUGAAUAGUGCUUCUUACUAAGAUGAGCUUGUUCAGAAUGCACUACUUAAUUCUCAGGUUUUAAUGAGCCACACAAUUCAGAGGCAACCACGGUACUUCUUCACGUUAUUUUGUUCAACUACGGAAGAAACUGUUUUCGAUGUUGGAUGAUAGUAUUAAUGGAUUUUUCAAAUUAAGCCGUGAUAAAAGUCUGCGGCUGUUUGCUGCUGAGAAGGAAGAGAGGUAGUACUGAAAAGGGCUGGUAUGAAAUUGCAAUGAGAAAUUG